AGAGUUUGAUCCUGGCUCAGAGCGAACGCUGGCGGCGUGCCUAACACAUGCAAGUCGAACGAGAAAGGGGUAGCAAUACCCCCGGUACAGUGGCGAACGGGUGAGUAACACGUGGGUAAUUCACCUCAGGGUUUGGAAUAACCUGCCGAAAGGCGGAUUAAUACCGGAUAACGUCGCAGGAUCACAUGGUUCUGCGACCAAAGCUGACCUCUUCCUGAAAGUUGGCGCCUGGAGAGAAACCCGCGUCCCAUUAGCUAGUUGGUGAGGUUACGGCUCACCAAGGCUCCGAUGGGUAGCCGGCCUGAGAGGGCGAUCGGCCACAGUGGAACUGAGACACGGUCCACACUCCUACGGGAGGCAGCAGUGAGGAAUCUUGCGCAAUGGGCGAAAGCCUGACGCAGCGACGCCGCGUGGACGAUGAAGGCCUUCGGGUCGUAAAGUCCUGUCGGGUGGGAAGAAAACCCUGGGGUUAAUACCUUCAGGGUUUGACUGUACCACCAAAGAAGCCCCGCUAACU
rnacentral:rRNA from 1 species